GACGAACGCUGGCGGCGUGCCUAAUACAUGCAAGUCGAGCGGAUGAAAGAGGAGCUUGCUCCUCUAGAUUCAGCGGCGGACGGGUGAGUAACACGUGGGCAACCUGCCCUGUAGAUUGGGAUAACUCCGGGAAACCGGGGCUAAUACCGAAUAAUCCUUCGGACCUCAUGGUCCGAUGUUGAAAGACGGUUUCGGCUGUCACUACAGGAUGGGCCCGCGGCGCAUUAGCUAGUUGGUGAGGUAACGGCUCACCAAGGCCACGAUGCGUAGCCGAACUGAGAGGGUGAUCGGCCACACUGGGACUGAGACACGGCCCAGACUCCUACGGGAGGCAGCAGUAGGGAAUCUUCCACAAUGGACGAAAGUCUGAUGGAGCAACGCCGCGUGAGUGAAGAAGGUUCUCGGAUCGUAAAACUCUGUUGUGAGGGAAGAACAAGUACCGGAGUAACUGCCGGUGCCUUGACGGUACCUCAUUAGAAAGCCACGGCUAACUACGUGCCAGCAGCCGCCGUAA
rnacentral:rRNA from 1 species